GUUACCCAGAUUAAAGCCGAAACAAAAUGUAUGAAAAUGGACCUUGAGGUAUCGCCUUAAAGAAGUCAUAAAAUAAGUCAGCAGUCAGCUGUUUAUACAGUUAAUAUUAAUGUGUUCUUUAUAAAUUUUCUUAUUUAUAGUAUUACGUAGAAGUAAGAUAGCUUCCAUUCAAUUCUCCUUUUCAAAUCUUUUAUAAGCACAUAUACUACAUAAUACAUGCGUUAAUUAGUUCGCUAAGCAUAUUUUUCCGCAGAAAUUCAAUUUACAAUAGAAUUUAAUUCAUAUUUACGGAUUAUUUGUGGGUGAUUAUGUUCAGCAAUGUGUAUUUUUAUGUAAUGCUAACGUAUACUCGUAUGUAACAAAAAAGUUGUUAACUAUGCUAGAGAAUACCUAUGACAGUGUCUUAUAUCAUGUCUUACUUAUGGGUAAAGAAAUAAAAGGUACAUAGCUAUAUAAUAAAUGUAUUUUAUAAGGAAAUGCUGUGUGAUUCUGAACUUCACUUCAAAUUUACUAUCAUUCAGAAAAUAGCACAAAACCAAUUUGUUUUUGAUAUUUUUUUAACAUAUAUAGCCUGAUUCUACACUAAAACAAAUAUAUAUAUGUUAGUCUGUAAUGGGACCGAACUUUAAAAUAGUUUAUAGUACAUAUGCUACAAACUAUAUAUUAUUUUUAGCCCGUUUCAUAACUACCGUGAAAGGCGUCCAGUUGCUGCUAAUGAAUGGGUACACGUACAGCAAGAGCGGGCGACUGCGGCUCGGAGGCUAUAGAUUCGCCUGCUCCAAUACUGUAUCAAGGCACUGCAGAGCGCAUAUACAUAUGGAUAUACAUUUUGCCAUAAUCAAAGCGGAUACAGAGCAUAACCACGCACCUCGAAGUUUUUAUGUCACGAAUGAGGGAUUGUAUUAUAUUAAAAAGAAUAAGUUGGCGUAGAUUUUUGUGCAAUGGGAAUACUACCGUGCUUAUCUCGAAAGCGGUAUGUCAAAAAAAAUCUAAAUCUUGAUUUUUAUGUCGUCAGAUAGCUUAAAGAAAUACCUAUCCAAUGAACUUACCCAAAUAACGGUAUCUUGUUAAGAACUUGGUAAAAAACCUUACAAAACUAUAAAACUAUAUUUAAAAAGCUGCAAUUAUCUCGAAAUAAGGUUUCCCUGACAUACCGCUUUUGUGCUUAGCACGGAAGAAUAGAUGGCUUAGAAGUAAGAGCUUAACAAAAUUUAUGAAGCGCUGCAAGAUAGAUAUGUUAAGUCUUAAAAUUAUAACCCUGUUAUUGGCAUUAAGAUAAGCUUACGAAAUCUUUAUGUAUUCGUUUGUGAUUAUAAGUAUUAUAGUAGUUAAUUAACAAUUAUUUCGAAUUAAAUCAUCUUAAUUAAUGUCAUUAAUUUUUUUUUGUAUUCUGACCUGCAUAAGCGCCUCUAAUUGUCUCUUAAGUUAUAGCGUAAUGAGUCUGGAAACCAGUAAUAGUAGGUAGGUAAUUUGAUGUAUCAUUACUUAUAUUGUAUAACCUUUUCAGUAUCUAUAAACACAUGAAUCCGAUCUCUGCGCACAGGCGUUUUAAUCCACAUUAUCUAUUCCAGUGUGGCAGAUACGUGAAGACGUCACAAGGAGUAACCCUGCUGCUCAUGGACGGUUUUGUGUACAGCAAAAAUAGCAAGAUUCGAAACGGAGGCCUUCGUUUCGCGUGCACCAGUAGGAUCACGCAGCGGUGCGGAGCGUACGUGCAUAUGUCGAAGGAUGACGUCAUCACGAAGGUGCAAGGAGAUCAUACUCAUGAACGGGCGUCGUAUCAUUUCACCAACGAGGGACAUUUUGUGAAACAUCGGAGUAAGAAUCCAGAGCCGACUAGUAUUAUGCUAGGGUCGUGAGGUUGAAAUCGUUCCUGAUUGUGCAUAAUCUGUAAGGACUUUCAUACGUCCACGACAAAGUGACCCCACUGUACCUGAUGGUAAGUGGAGUGGGGUCCAAUAGAAUGUCGACUGACGAGAGAUGAUUACCCCUCGGCAGUCGACACAAUUAUGCCGGCCUGUUGGAUCCGGAUGUACACAGGCUGAUUCCGGAAUGCGACACACUUACGUGGACCACCAUGGCGUGUUUUAACACCUUGUGUACGGAUGUCUCAAACCGGACGGAUAUAAAAUAUAUGCUACCACCAGCAAACUACCGAUGUCUUAUGCCGGUUUCCAAUCACAAGAUAUAGUUAGAGCUUUAUGAAUAUCUACAGUAGCUAAAUUAUUUGAUAAUUUACAUCUGAUUGUAAAAUCGAUCCUUAAGAAAAACAAUUUUCCAAAAUCAUUUAUUUUAGGAUUAUUUUUUACUGAUAAAGACAUUGAAUGAUGUGAUAUAUAAUUGAAUUUGCACAUCAUCAUCAUAUAGCACCUUGUUGAAGUGAACCAGCUAUAUUAUAUCAACUAGUCUCUGGACAUAAUAAUGUACUACAGAGACUCCACACUGUUUGGACUUAAAUAAAAUUAUGAUAUAUCAUAAUGCCUUGUAUUCACACUGAAUUUAAAAUCUUUCUAAUUGGAACAUUAUAGUGUUUAUUGGUGCUUAGCGACAGAAAUAAGCAAAAAGAUUGUGAAAUCAAUGAUUUUUCUAUUUCUUUAUGUUAUUACAGUUAUGUGACCCAGGUUAAUCUUCCUUAUACGUUUUAAUAAUACUCGGUCAGGGAAGCGGCUUUAUAUUGUUCUAUUUGAAUCUAAAAUUGAUUUGAUCUAUUUGUACAACAAACUGAAAUAUUGCAAAGCAAAUAAAUAUGUUUUUACUCUGAAUGGAAACUGUGAUUCAUGAUUCAUUUCCAUAAUUUAAUUCCAAUCUUUUGUUUUUAAUUUGCUCGAGUUUCAAGAAAGAAUUCAUAACCCAUGAAGCAAUGACAUUUUGCAAAAACAUCUUGAUUUUUAUCUACAAAUUACUUUAAUUACAAUUUUUUAUGGAUUUAAAAGAUCUUAACACCAGUGUUAUAUCAGGGUAUCUUGGUGGAUGUGUUCUGACUGAGCCCAUCAGUCAGAACAAGUACAUAUACUAAAACGGUAUUUUCGCCGUAUAUGGUGUGGUCGCCAUACAGUGGACCAUCAUGAAUGGGUAAUAUAUUUAGUUGUGGAAGAGUUAAAUAUAUUUUACUACUAACGUGGUGCAUAACACAAUAACUAAAUGUGAAGCUUUAAAUUAAUAUAGUUCGUUUCUUUUAUAAGUCAUUCAAUAAAUUGCAUGAAUGCACUCCUUUAGUUUUAUUCAGAAAUAAAUAAUUAACUUUUACUAUUGCCUAAGUAGGCAAACGAGCAAAAACUCCGCCUGAUGGUAAGAAGCACCCGCAACCCAUGGACUUAAGCAAUGCCAAAGGCACAGCCAAUCCGCUGCCUAUCGGAAAGUCUGUAUUGUUAUAUAAACUGAAGAGUUUAUUUGUAAAAACUAUGCCUUCAUUCCAAAAUGGGGGCUACGCAGAAUUUACGUGGGCGGAGUGGACAUUAUUCAAAUGUACCAAGAAAAGUAAUAAAAAUUACCGAUAUUAUGUCGCGUCACAUUCAAAGCAAAUUUGUUAAAACACUAAACGUGGCAUGUUUCCAGCAUCGUACGUCAGCAUGGCAAAUGGAAGCCAAUUAUUGCUGUACAAUGGAUUUGUGUUCAGUAAAAACGGUAAGGUCCGAGACGGAGGCACGAGAUACGCAUGCGCUAACCGACUCUCCCGUAACUGUCUUGCGUACCUCCACGUCUCGAAGAAUGAUGUUAUCAUGAAGGUCAAUGAAGAACAUACCCACAAGCCGCCAUCGUACAGCUUUACGGAAGAAGGAUAUUUUGUCAAGAAACCUAAUCGGGAAAUUGGAGAUGGCACUCAUAUAUAAUAUGUGUAUUUGGUGAUUUGGAAGAGCCUGUACGAUACUGGAUAUCUCAUUGAUGAUGCUGCUGAUAUUUCAAGACUGUCAUGAAUUACUGAUAGUAAUAUAUUUAUUGGUAUUCUUGUAAAUUUCGUUUUAAUUCAAUAAAAUUCAUUCGUACAGAUUCAGUUCCGGUUAUAAUAUAGGUACUUAAUAGGUUAGGGGAGUUUGCUUGUAGCUUUUAUAAUCCCCUUUUUUAUAAGUAGGUAAUCUCCGAUUUUUUAAUUAUACAAUAGUAUCGUUUAGAAGUUAUAUGUAUCAUAAAUUUAAAUAGCUUUGUUAAAAUGUAUGAACUCACUCUAUCUCAAUAAAAAAACACUAUAAACAAUGAACAUAAGGAACUUGGAGUUGUAUUUGUAUGACAAUCCGAAUAUGACUUUUCUGAAUGAGAUUUAUAGCAAGACAAAUGCUUUUUAUGGAAACAGUAGUGAUCUUACUCCUUCGCUUGACACGACACACAAAUGUGAAAUGAAAUGAAGAACUCUUAAGAUGUAUUAAAAUUAUAAAUCAUAAUUUGAACACAAUUUCUACUCAGUGUCAGCCCUGAGUCUUAAUUGUGCUUGGUAUGGCAAUAGGCUUGCUUCUAUCACAUUAUGGAACGGAAUACACAUGAUGUAAAGUAGAUGUCAUGUCAGCACCACUGUCUACCCCUUCGAAGAUGAAAGUGUGAUGUUCGUGCCUGUGAUCACAAUUUAUUAUGGUGGAAUCUUUCCCAACUAGUGGUAGAGUAAAAAUUUUACUGAAUUAUUAUUUUUUUAACAUUUUACAAAUAAAGAUCAUAUUUCAUUAAUUAUAUAGAAACUUAACUUUAAAACUAAGCGCGAGGAAAAAUUGACGCGCGUGAAAAAGUUGUCAAAGUGAUCGAUACGUCUACUGUGAUGAAAACUGUCUGUUCUGUAAUAAUUGGGCGCUGUGUCUAGCUGUUGGCUGACCACGCCCUUAAUCAAUGUUGUAUCGUAGGUACAACAUAUGACAUACACUGCGUCGAUUCUUAAUGUGUACUGGAUUUAAUAAUUGAAUUACUUUGGGUCUCGGCUGGUUCACGUAAUAGGUCUUCCUAAAUAUCUCUCAGGAUAUAUUAAAAUAUGCGAACUUUCACGCAUCCAUCGAUGAGUAAAAGCAUUUUCUGAUUAUUGUGUAUAAAGACAGCAAUGUAUAUCAAUUGGUAUUUUUAUUAAUUACCAAAUUUAAUAAGUUGUUACUUACAGGCAGGUUGUUACCUGCUCUCUUAGAAUGUUCCAAAAACGCAACUCGUAAGUCAAUGUCGUUUAAUUUUGAUGUUUAUGAUUGAUCGAAAGACUAAGACGCCAGCCAUGUAUUAGUCUCAACCAAUCAAAAUAAAACGACAUGGAGUCUUGUCGUGUUUUUUUGCCACAUUCUAAGCAGACUAAUAAUCUAUUUCAGCAUCAUACGUCAAAACCCUGAACGGCAGCAAGCUGUUACUAUUCAACGGUUAUGUGUUUAGUAGAAACGCGAAGAUACGAGAUGGGGGUAUUAGGUUCGCGUGCGCCAAUCGCUUGUCCAGGACCUGCCAUGCCUACGUCCACAUGUCGAAGGAUGAUGUUAUCAUAAAAGUUCAUGAUGUUCAUACACACGAACCUCCGUCUUAUACCUUUACCUCUGAUGGAUAUUUCAUAAAGACUUUAGAGCCGAGACCGAUAGUGGAUUGACAAAGAAUUAGUUGCAAGCAUUUAGUUUGCUAUCUUUAAGUCUUGGUGUUAACAGUUAAAAGUGCAAGAGGACGCUGAAAUUAUAUAGAAAUACGUUUUACUUAAUGGAUUGACACAGUUAAAGAAGUCCUACUUGGGUGAAUAAAGUGUAAUAGGGAAGUUUUCUGUGUUUAAUUAUAUAUAUAUACAUUAUUUGGUAUGUAGCAAAAAGUGAUUCAAUAAAAAAAUCUUAUAUAAAAUCAGUCCCAAAAUAGGUUAAAAAUAAAGCAGUGGUUCAUAUUUGAAAUAUUGUGAGUAAAAGUGAGGGCGUGAUGGGGUUAUCGGGGUAUCUCUUUCUCACGCACGUUGCCUUAUGGCCGGUGGCAUUAAGUGACGUCACAGUUUGUUAUUACUGUUUUUGACAGCUCCCCCUUCCACUAAAUUUCAAAGCUUUAUAAUUGGUUUAUUAUUGUGUGGAUUAAGAAAUCUUUUUCUGUUACAUUUUGGAUGAUAUACAUUUUUAAUAAUGUAUUUAAAAAAAGCAGUCAACUACCCUAUUAAUGUUGGCGCGAAAUCGGAUAAAGGAAUCUGAAGGUCUGUAAUUGCACUACUAUCUUAUUGCAAUGACUUUACAGAUACUGAUCAUGUAUAGAAAUUCUCGUGAAUAUGACUCAAUCUUAUACUGUCUUUAUUUAAACGCAAAAUAUUUUUUUCUUAGCUUUACCUUAAAAAUAAUCAACUCGGUAUUAACAUGUUGAAUGUUCAGAAAUUGCGCAUUCUUCCAAAACAUCCUAGAACGAAGCGAAGAUAAAUGAUGAUGCUUUUAUUAUUAAUUAAAUGUUAUUUUUAUAUUAAUAUUGAAAUGUUAACGUUGAUUUAAUAUUAUACAAAUUUCUAACGCUUGUAUGUUUGUUGUUUUAUUUUACUACUGUUAUCUCUAUUUUAACGAUUUCCAGUUUCACAGAAUUUCAUUUAAUAACCCUUCUAUAUAUUAUUACUAAUUGCUAAGUAACAAUUUAUAUAUGCUAUAUGUGUUACUAGCUAGUAUCUAGUUGAUAAUUGUUAGGCCUGAAACACGCUAACAUUUCAUAGGCAAAGUUUAGAAAAGCUACCAGGCAUUUGGAUAGAUAAGUGACCAGACCCUCAUCUAUAAAUUAAUCUAUAAAUGAAAUUUAAAGCUAAUUUUUUCAACAUAAGUAACCAUUUACCUUGUAUUAACAAGCCAGCGAAACGUGGACACUACAAACGCGUAGAGAAUGCUCAUAUCAAAAACUUACGUUAUUGACGCGUUUAAAAUGAAUCUUGUGCAUAGACUAUGUUUGCGCAGUCGGCAUUAGGCUGAUAACUUUAAGUCUCUAGAAUGCUGGACCCUUUGAAACAACAUAAUAUCUACAUGUCGUACUUAUAAUAUGACUUAUUGUCUCAAAUUACGACUCGCAAUACGUUAUAUAAACUAUCGUAGAUAAGUAAUUAUUAAAAUAUAUUCUCAUAACUAUAGUAUUUGCCAAUGUGUUUUUUAAUUUAUAGGUGUUUUUUUUUUCAGCAAAAUUCAUCACAUUGACAAACGGCAAAAACCUAUUGAUGGUAGACGGGUAUACCUUCCACAGAAAUGGUGCCAAAAGAGAAGGGGGGUGCGAUGGUUCUGCUCCUCCCGAUACAGAGAACGUUGCAAAGUGACCAUCGUACUGAACGAAAGUGAUUUCAAAGUGCGCAAAAUGUCCCAGAAACAUAAUCAUUUCCGCCCUAGUUUUGUCAGAGUUGGAGAAAACUAUAUCAAAACGUAAGGGCAUUUUCACUCAUAGACGAUAACAUACUAUGUUUCAUUCGCGGCCCCAAUUGUACCACUGCACCUGCAGGCAAGUGGUGUGGAACAGGUAAAAUAUCGAUUAACGAAUGACACUCUUAGGUCAGUACCUCAAAGUAAAAAACCUUCCUUUUAAGAAUACAUUGGGCUAUUCUGUGAAGACCAAGAACAAAGAAACUUAAAAUAUGAACCUCUUUAUCAUGAGGAAAGGUGGAUGACAACACAGCAACGAAAAAGAGCUGAUUCACCAAAUAUUAGAUUUUGUUAAGUCUAUAAUAAAUAACCUCUUUUACUGCGUUUUCGCUGGUAAACACUAUACUGUAUAUUUUGAACUUUUUAUCCUUCAGUAAGUCCACUGCACCAUAUUAUGUCUUACAUGCCACUGUCUCUUUAUGUGGAUUCUAUUAAUUACCAUUACCAGCCGUCUAUAUUUAUUUAGUUCUCCUAUUCACUCAAUGUUACUGUAACUAAAAUAUUUGAAAUCUUGAUAUUAUAAAUAUACUAUAGUAUC